GUUUUCAUAUCUACAUCAAUCUUCUCACAUAUAACUAGUAUAGGGUGUGUAGUCAGAAAAUCAGAGUGACAAUUGAGUGCAUAUCUUGUAAGGAAUUGAGUGAAUUCUCUAAGGCAUGUUACUACAUUCAAAACAUUUUUUUAAAUUGCUUAAAUGUGAACUAGUAAGUAGUGACUAUGAUUAAGUAUGUGCUUAAGUGUAGAGAUGACUCAAAUCUGUGGGGAUGAUAAUCUUUAACAUGUCAUGUGCAUUGGAAAUCCCUGAGGCAAAUGUUGGAAGGUUUAGGUUGUGUUGUAUUCGUUUCGUUUCGUUUUAUUUCUUUGUUUGCUCGAGGACUAGCAAAAGCUAAGUGUAGGGGAAUUUGAUAGGAGCAUAUUUAUGCGACUUAGUUGGCUUGUUCUUGUGCAUUUAUGUCGUGUUUCCUUAGUUAUUUUAAUGUUUAAAGUCAUUUUCAUGUGUUUUCAGAUUUUAAGGACAAAGUAGGCAAGAAGAUGCAUUUUGGAGCAUUUUGGAGCAAAAUGGAGCUUGGAAUGCAUGUCACAUAUUUGGAACCAAGGUUUGGACGAAAUUGAAGAGUUAAAGAGGUUAAGAAUGUGAAGAAUUAGUGUACAAAGGAUCAUGAAUUCAGCCACAAAAGAACAAGAGCAUCCUUGCCGUGCAAUCCACAUUGCAUUCCCUUUGGAUUCCCAUGCAUGCUUAAUCAUCCUUGUCCCCUAAAAUAUUUCUGAUUUCAUGCCCCAAUACACUCAAUUAUCACACUCAAUUGCUGCAUACCUCUUGUUCCCUUCACCCAUCUAAUUUCACACAACUUUCACAACCAUUCCAUGCACCGAUUGAUGCUCCAUCAUCCACAUUUGGGAUCCAAUGCCUUGUGCAACACAUGUUGCUGCACCUUUAACUAAUUUCUGAAACAUUUCACCUCCCCUUUUCAUUUCCAUGCAAUGAACACAAUCAUUCAUGCUCCCUAGCUGAAAUACCACUCCAUUUUACCCUCCAUACUUUGCAUCAUUGCUCCAUUUUCAUCCUUGGACCAUUGCACACCACAAAUUCACCCUCCUUGCUGUGCAUUUCCCCACUGACUAAUCUGAUUCUCUAGGGUUUUUGGGGCCUAUAUAUACAUGUUUACAACCCUUGGCAAAAGGUUGAACCUCCCAUAUUCAUCAUUCAUGCAGAAAAUUCGUCCAUACUCACCCUAGGCAGCAAAACACCCCAAAAACACCAUUCUAGUGCCCAGAAAACAUAACAGCCACUCCACCUUAUUCCACCAUCUUUGCCGAGUUCUUUACCACCCUCCAACCAUCAAACACUCCUCCACACUCACCCUAAAUCUUUCCAUACCAUUCCCCAUCCAUUCUACACCAUAAAACUACCCAAAACCUGUCCAUAACCCAAUCUGCCGCAAGCAAGGGAAAUGAGGAAUCUUGGAUGCACUUGCUGCCAAGUUGGAGCAUUCUAGGUGUUUUCUUUCUUUGGAUUUUAAUGUCUAAUUCAUGUAAUCUUUGUUUUGCUUUAAGUAUGAUUGGCUAAUUUCGUUUUGUAUUCAAAACCAUGAUUAUAUAUGCGAAAUGAGUUGAUUACUUCCAGUUAUUGUUACAUAAGUCGUGAAUACAAUUUGCUUAACCAUUUGAUUUAGAACUUAUUCUUGUAUGUUGAUUGAGAGUGCACGCUUAAUUUGCAUGCUUGAAUUUGAUGCUAGGAUAUAAAUUUGUUUCACCUAAUCGUUAUGAAUUUAUAUUCGUAAGUAGUGAAGGUCGCUAGUCACGAUUGUGUUAAGUAGAUUCCUGGCAAGAGUAUCAUGCUUUUCAUAGUUACGAAUGCCUUGUCAAUGCUUAUGAUUUCCAAAGAACGUAAUGAUUCUAACUUGUGUCUUUAUCAUGCUGUUCAUAUAAAGAACUUGUUAGGAAUAAUUUGUUUGCGAUGCAUAUUCAUCCAAUUCAAUGAUCCUAGGGAAAUCUGAAGGUUAAUUUAAGCAGACCUAAUUAACUUGGAGUGUUGAGGUUCAUAACUUAUUGAAUUGAUAACUGGAAAUUGAUUUACGUUACAUAUAUUUCAUGUGUGGAGAAGAACCCCUUAGCCAUUCCAUCAUCCAUUGAUUCUUCAUAACUUUGUAUUA
rnacentral:lncRNA from 1 species